UUUCUUCUGCUUGAAAUGACCUUGGCUGCUUUGUUCACCUGAUGAAAAUGUAUUCAUCCUUCCAGGUCUCUGCACGUGUGCCUCCUCUCUGAAGACUUCUCAGACUUUCAUUUCCAGAAGAAUGAAACACACUUGCAAAGACUAUAUCUGCUAAUACACCCAUCCUUGUUGACUAUUUACGGUUUUACCCAACUCCUGAGUGCUAUGGUCAGUGCCACCAAGUUCAUGGGUCUGGCAGUGAUGGGAAAAUGGAGAUGCAUUUCUUGCAGUCCAGCUAAUGGUGUGGCCAUGGUGCUGCUGCUGCUGCUGCUGCUAAGUCACUUCAGUCGUGUCCAACUCUGUGCGACCCCAGAGACGGCCGCCCACCAGGCUCCCCCUUCCCUGGGAUUCUCCAGGCAAGGACACUGGAGUGGAUUGCCAUUUCCUUCUCCAAUGCAUGAAAAUGAAAAGUGA
rnacentral:lncRNA from 1 species